AGCARCCAGKGAUGUUGUUUAAAAGAUGGCUUUCGGGCUGUCGUUUGGGGAUGAGCCUGCGUCCUUAUUAGCUAGUUGGKGUGGUAAAGUCMCACCAAGGCGAUGAUAGGUAGGCGGCCUUAACGGGUGGUCGCCCACACUGGGAUUGAGAUACGGCCCAGACUCCUACGGGAGGCAGCAGUCGAGAAUAGUCUACAAUGGUCGGAAGACUGAUAGUGCGACGCCGCGUGAACGAGGAAGCCCUUCGGGGUGUAAAGUUCUUUUAUAUGUGAGCAGUGGGUUCUACGUUAAUAGCGUGGGAUCAGGGAUAUUAGCAUAUGAAUAAGCAACGGCUAACUCCGUGCCAGCAGCCGCGGUAACACGGGGGUUGCGAGCGUUGUCCGGAAUUACUAGGCGUAAAGGGCAGGUAGGCGGAUCUAUAAGUUUUUUGUCAAAUUCAACGGCUCACCCGUUGCUCGGCAGGAGAUACUGUAGAUCUGGAAUGCGGUUGGGGAAGACAGAAUUCCUGGUGUAGCGGUGGAAUGCGCAGAGAUCAGGAGGAAUACCUAAGGCGAAGGCAGUCUUCUAAGCCGUAAUUGACGCUAAACUGCGAAGGUGUGGGUAUCAAACAGGAUUAGAUACCCUGGUAGUCCACACAGUAAACGAUAAUCACUGGGUGUCGGGUUCGUAGAGGAUUCGGUGCCGUAGCUAACGCGAUAAGUGAUUCGCCUGGGGAGUACGAUCGCAAGGUUGAAACUCAAAGGAAUUGACGGGGGCCCGCACAAGCGGUGGAGCAUGUGGUUUAAUUCGAGGCAACGCGAAGAACCUUACCCGGUCUUGACAUCUGCAGUAGGUUUCAGAGAUGAGGCUUUGCCGGCUUUGCCGGAGCUGCAAGACAGGUGCUGCAUGGCUGUCGUCAGCUCGUGUCGUGAGAUGUUGGGUUAAGUCCCGCAACGAGCGCAAUCCCUGCUUCCAGUUACCAUCAUUAAGUUGGGGACUCUGGAAGGACCGCUGCGGUAACAACGCAGAGGAAGAUGGGGACGACGUCAAGUCAUCAUGGUUCUUAUGUCCGGGGCUACACACGUGCUACAAUGGUAGUUACAGAGGGAAGCGAAGCUGCGAGGUGGAGCGAAUCUCAUAAAAGCUGCCACAGUUCGGAUUGAGGUCUGCAACUCGACCUCAUGAAGUCGGAAUCGCUAGUAAUCGCGCAACAUCAUGCGCG
rnacentral:rRNA from 1 species